UUAUGCCAAUGUAUGGAGUUGGAACGUUUGCCUAUGUUUGCCGCUAGGGGCGCUGUUCCCGCGGCAUACAAAUUUCAGGUA
rnacentral:pre_miRNA from 1 species